rnacentral:rRNA from 1 species
AUUGAACGCUGGCGGCAGGCCUAACACAUGCAAGUCGAACGAGUGGCGGACGGGUGAGUAAUGUCUGGGAAACUGCCUGAUGGAGGGGGAUAACUACUGGAAACGGUAGCUAAUACCGCAUACCAUCAGAUGUGCCCAGCGGGGAUUAGCUGGUUGGGGGGGUAACGGCUCACCAAGGCGACGAUCCCUAGCUGGUCUGAGAGGAUGACCAUCCCCAUUGGAACUGAGACACGGUCCAGACUCCUACGGGAGGCAUCAGUGGGGAAUAUUGCACAAUGGGCGCAAUCCUGAGGCAGCCAUGCCUCGUGUAUGAAGAAGGCCUUCGUGUUGUAAAGUACUUUCAGCGGGGAGGCGUUACCCGCAGAAGAAGCACCGGCUAACUCCGUGCCAGCAGCCGCGGUAAUUC